rnacentral:rRNA from 1 species
UACGUAGGGUGCAAGCGUUGUCCGGAAUCAUUGGGCGUAAAGCGCGCGUAGGCGGCCCUGUAAGUCCGUUGUGAAAGUCAAAGGCUCAACCUUUGAAAGCCGAUGGAUACUGCAGGGCUAGAGUCCGGAAGAGGCGAGUGGAAUUCCUGGUGUAGCGGUGGAAUGCGCAGAUAUCAGGAGGAACACCAAUAGCGAAGGCAGCUCGCUGGGACGGUACUGACGCUAAGGCGCGAAAGCGUGGGGAGCAAACAGG